UGACGUGCAAAUCGAUCGUCAGAUCUGGGUAUAGGGGCGAAAGACUAAUCGAACCAUCUAGUAGCUGGUUCCCUCCGAAGUUUCCCUCAGGAUAGCUGGCGCUCGGAGACCGGUCUCAUCCGGUAAAGCGAAUGAUUAGAGGCCUUGGGGCCGAAACGACCUCAACCUAUUCUCAAACUUUAAAUGGGUGAGAAGUCCGGCUUGCUCGACUGAAGUCCGGACGGUCAGGACGAGAGUGCCAAGUGGGCCACUUUUGGUAAGCAGAACUGGCGAUGCGGGAUGAACCGAACGCCGGGUUACGGCGCCCAAUGCGGGACGCUCAUCAGAUCCCAUGAAAGGUGUUGGUUGCUAUAGACAGCAGGACGGUGGCCAUGGAAGUCGGAAUCCGCUAAGGAGUGUGUAACAACUCACCUGCCGAAGCAACUAGCCCUGAAAAUGGAUGGCGCUCCAGCGUCGAGCCUAUACCCGGCCCCCGCCCUAGAGUUAAGGGGCGGG
rnacentral:rRNA from 1 species